rfam:Asian citrus Psyllid, Diaphorina citri - Florida Strain, whole genome shotgun sequence.
GCCAAGUUAGCGUGAAGGGUAGCGCGUCUGUCUUGUAAGCUCUAGAUCGCGGGUUCGAUUCCCGCUUGGGGCG